rnacentral:rRNA from 1 species
UACGGGGGGGGCAAGCGUUGUCCGGAAUUAUUGGGCGUAAAGCGCGCGCAGGCGGUCCUUUAAGUCUGAUGUGAAAGCCCACGGCUCAACCGUGGAGGGUCAUUGGAAACUGGGGGACUUGAGUGCAGAAGAGGAAAGUGGAAUUCCAAGUGUAGCGGUGAAAUGCGUAGAGAUUUGGAGGAACACCAGUGGCGAAGGCGACUUUCUGGUCUGUAACUGACGCUGAGGCGCGAAAGCGUGGGGAGCAAACAGG